rnacentral:rRNA from 1 species
AUUGAACGCUGGCGGCAGGCUUAACAUAUGCAAGUCGAGCGGUAACAGAGAGAAGCUUGCUUCUCUGCUGACGAGCGGCGGACGGGUGAGUAAUGCCUAGGAAUCUGCCUAGUAGUGGGGGAUAACUUGCCGAAAGGUAAGCUAAUACCGCAUACGUCCUACGGGAGAAAGGAGGGGACCUUCGGGCCUUUCGCUAUUAGAUGAGCCUAGGUCGGAUUAGUUAGUUGGUGAGGUAAUGGCUCACCAAGACCGCGAUCCGUAACUGGUCUGGGAGGAUGAUCGGUCACACUGGAACUGAGACACGGUCCAGACUCCUACGGGAGGCAGCAGUGGGGAAUAUUGGACAAUGGGGGGAACCCCGAUCCAGCCAUGCCGCGUGUGUGAAGAAGGUCUUAGGAUUGUAAAGCACUUUAAGUUGGGAGGAAGAGCAGUUAACUAAUAUUUGACUGUUUUGACGUUACCGACAGAAUAAGCACCGGCUAACUUCGUGCCAGCCGCCGCAGUAA